UUUUACAUCUACGUUUAAUUUUAUUGGAAAGAGGAGCCAGCAAUGCAUCAUGGGGCUGCUGCGUGACAUGAAAGGUGACCCCUGCCAGCUUAAUGACACAAUACAUAACCCUUAAUGAAGUCACUAUCUUGUCCUCUUUUUGCUGUCUCAGCCUGAUGAUUUAUGAUGGCAUCAUUUUGCUUUGCCCUCUUUUCAUUUCAGCUUGACAAAGUGGAUGAAACAAUUAUCUUCGUUAUCAUCCGGAGCAGGAGAAAUGUGAUAGCUGAGGAUUUCUGCAGGUGCAGGGACUCGGCUUGGGAUCAAGGGAAUGCAAAAAUAUGACUGGGAAUUUUGGGGCUCCCUCUGUUUUUUCUCUUUCUCUAACUGGCCUUGUGAAGAUGGAGGGAGGAUCUCACCAAGCCUUGCAAGCCCUCCAUCACCAUGGCAAGAAGUAAUUUCAGGAGCUCUCUGGAGCAACAGCGAAAAAAGACCUGGGAGAUGUCACUACAUUUCCUUUUCCAUCUUUUUUUCCCUCCCCUCUACACACACACCUGUCCUGGAAUGCUCUGUACCCCCAAAAUAACUUUGUCAGGCUCCCGAGUGCCUGACAAAGGUGAUGGGGCAGGUGUAGUCCGUGGAAAGGUGGCAGCAGUGACUCUGUGUGCCUGUGCCUGCACACCCCGAGGUGUGUGAGCAUUGUACCUGAUUUUCUGUUUCAUUAAACCCAGCAGCAAUCCCUCAGAGCUGGGCCCAGCCCUCCACGGCCACAGCUUGGUGGCUGCCAGCACAUCACAACCUGCUGCAGCUCAGAGCCCCAGCCCAGCUGCUUUUCCCACCUUUUAGGGCCAGCAGGUCCCUUUUUGGCCGUGCUGCCCGCAGAGGUUGCGUGAGGAAAGCUUUCCUCGUGGACUGGGAUGCAGAUGGAAGCUGCCAGCUCAGGGUUUCAGUCCUGCCAGGCAGAAAUGACAAAGUGCCCUCGCUGGCCACCUGGCACUUGGCACUGCCAGGCGACGGUGUGGCUGGUGCUGCUCGGGGUCUGGGGGGCUGGAGCUGCUCCUGAGCUGAUUCAGGGUGACUGGGAGCAGCCCUUCACAGCCCUGCUGAGGCUCCUGGACAAAUUGCUGCAAUUCUUCACAUGGUUUGAAGAGACAGAGACAGACAGGCGCAGCUCUUCCCAGCACGUCCUGUUCCCUGCAGAGCCUUUCCCAAAUCUGGAGCUCAGUCUUUGCUCCAGUCCACCAGCUGAUGGAAGCCCUCCUGCCACGUUUCACCACUCAGUUGAGCCCAGGGGUUUUCUGCUGUGUUCCACCACCCAGCUACUCCCCCUUCCCAGUCAG
ensembl:lncRNA